rnacentral:misc_RNA from 1 species
CUUGACGACGCCAAUAGCCGCAUGAGCCCUGUCGAGCGCAUAGGCAACGACAGGAUCAAGACGGCCGUAGCAGUCGUUCGUGUCAAGGGACAAAUGCGUAGCUUGGGCGAGCGUAGGCCUAGACCUCGCACCCAUGCAUGACAUUCCAUAUCCGAGAGAACAAGCAAUAGCUCCGUGGGCCUCAACAGCCUUGCAACAAGGCAAGGCAUGCAAGGAACACGUAGCAUGCCUAACGUCCACCCCACACCCAUGGAGGGCGUUGAGCGGAAAGGGGCAACGAUACGUUCGAAUUCCUUUCGGUAG